rnacentral:rRNA from 1 species
GAGGAGCCCAGAGCCUGAAUCAGCAUGUGUGUUAGUGGAAGCGUCUGGAAAGGCGCGCGAUACAGGGUGACAGCCCCGUACACAAAAGCGCAUGUGCUGUGAGCUCGAUGAGUAGGGCGGGACACGUGGUAUCCUGUCUGAAUAUGGGGGGACCAUCCUCCAAGGCUAAAUACUCCUGACUGACCGAUAGUGAACCAGUACCGUGAGGGAAAGGCGAAAAGAACCCCGGCGAGGGGAGUGAAAAAGAACCUGAAACCGUGUACGUACAAGCAGUGGGAGCCCCACCACCAAAGCAUUCUCUGGUGUUGAAGGCCCUGCAAAGCAGCAUCGCGGUGGCGGAGCGUCGUUUGCGACGCCCAACACACAAAACAAGCGGUGAAUGCUUUGGGGUGGGGUGACUGCGUACCUUUUGUAUAAUGGGUCAGCGACUUAUAUUCUGUAGCAAGGUUAACCGAAUAGGGGAGCCGGAGGGAAACCGAGUCUUAAUUGGGCGUUAAGUUGCAGGGUAUAGACCCGAAACCCGGUGAUCUAGCCAUGGGCAGGUUGAAGGUUGGGUAACACUAACUGGAGGACCGAACCGACUAAUGUUGAAAAAUUAGCGGAUGACCUGUGGCUGGGGGUGAAAGGCCAAUCAAACCGGGAGAUAGCUGGUUCUCCCCGAAAGCUAUUUAGGUAGCGCCUCGUGAAUUCAUCUCCGGGGGUAGAGCACUGUUUCGGCUAGGGGGCCAUCCCGGCUUACCAACCCC